CGCGGAGGGCGGAGCCGGGGAAGCCGAAGGGAAGCCAUACUGGAGAUGCAGCCCGCCUUUCACACUUAAGCUCGAGGCCUGGGCAGGGACCGCACACCGAAACGAAGAGAAAGUGGGCUCCUGAGCAAACUGCCUGAACACCGAGGCUACUGGACGUUGGCCGUACAGGGCCUUGCUUUGAUUUUCUUUUGUUCGAAACGGGGGCGGGGGUCAGGCGGGCUUGGAACUCCCUCUGGAGCCCAGCAUUUGGUACCGUUGCGCUCCAAGUCUCCCGAGUGACUACCGGCCGUAUGCCCCGUGCCCACCUCCAGGACUUGCUUGUGUUUAAACAAGGCCACCCAUAACCCGUGAUGGCCCAGUGGCUCGGGUGAGCAGCAGUUGUCCCCGGCCCCACCGGAGAGGCGAAGGCCAGGAUGACGUGCUGGCGGAGGCUGGCCACGGCGGACGCCUGCCUCUUGUUGGCCAGGGUGGCUGAGUGCUCCCGGAGUCCCAGCAUGGACGCGCUUCCUGUCUCUCAGCACCCCAGGCCCCGUGCUGCCUGGGGCUCAGCCCCACACCGCUCCCAGCCUUGACCCGGAAUCAUGAAUCAACACCAACCUGUUCUCUUCAUGACUUGAAAAGAACAAGGGGAGGAUAGGAGAAGCACGGAAGUCAUAUCUGUCCUUCAGGAGAGGGACGGAGAGAGAAGGUACUGGAGAUAAACCUGGUUUUGGAAUGACACCGGAUUUCUACUGGGUGAGGUGGCACCCGCCUGUGAUCCCGGCGCUUUGGAGGUGGAGGCAAGUGGAUCUCUGAAUUUGAGGCCAACCUGGUCUACAAAGCAAGUUCCAGGCUACACAGAGAAGCCUUGUCUCUGUGACAAACAACAGAGAGAGACGUCAGCACAGAGGUACUGACAAUGGUGAAGGGUUAGAACAGUAGCUAUCCCAAGUCUGGGCCUGCUCUCCACCUCUUCAAGGAGCGUUUGACCACCUCCCCUGAGCUAGGCCUGAGCUAGUAGCUUGCUCUUGCAAAAUAAAACUAAAUACAAUUUAA